UCCAGACUCCUACGGGAGGCAGCAGUGGGGAAUAUUGGGCAAUGGGCGCAAGCCUGACCCAGCAACGCCGCGUGAAGGAAGAAGGCUUUCGGGUUGUAAACUUCUUUUCUCAGGGACGAAGAAAGUGACGGUACCUGAGGAAUAAGCCACAGCUAACUACGUGCCAGCAGCCGCGGUAAUACGUAGGCGGCAAGCGUUAUCCGGAUUUAUUGGGUGUAAAGGGAGCGUAGACGGCCAGACAAGUCUGAAGUGAAAAUCCAGCGCUUAACGGUGGAAGUGCUUUGGAAACUGCCGGGCUAGAGUGCAGGAGGGGCAGGCGGAAUUCCUAGUGUAGCGGUGAAAUGCGUAGAUAUUAGGAGGAACACCAGUGGCGAAGGCGGCCUGCUGGACUGCAACUGACGUUGAGGCUCGAAGGCGUGGGGAGCAAGCAGGAUUAGAUACCCCGGUAAG
rnacentral:rRNA from 1 species